CUGUGCAGUUCCUGGCUACUCCCCUAAGAGCUUUUCCUUCCUAUACCAGGGAAAAUGAGACUUUGGCUCCAUUUAAUUUUCAUAUUAGCAGCUUUGGAAGGUGUCCGGUCCCAGAUCCAGCUGGUGGAGUCCGGAGGGGAUGUGAAAAAGCCCGGAGACUCUCUCCGCCUCUCCUGCAAAGCCUCCGGCUUCACCUUCAGCAGCUACGAUAUGAGCUGGGUCCGGCAGGCUCCUGGGAAGGGGCUGGAGUGGGUGGCUAGGGUUAGCUCCCCAAGCGGAUCGAGCCAGUGGUAUGCUAAGGCUGUCGAAGGGCGAGUCACCAUCUCCAGAGACAACUCCAUCACCACGGUGUACUUACAGAUGGGCAGCCUGAAACCCGAGGACACCGCCGUGUAUUACUGCGCCAGAGACACAGCGAGGGGAAGCCGGGCUGAGCUCAGACAAAAACCUCCCCCUGCAGGCUUCCUCCUUCUCCCAGUGAAGUCAGAGAAGAAGCCGAGCCAUUCGUGCAACCCAGCUCAGAGGGCAUGUUGA